UACGUAGGGGGCAAGCGUUGUCCGGAAUUAUUGGGCGUAAAGAGCGUGUAGGCGGCCUUCUAAGUCAGACGUGAAAUCCCCCGGCUUAACCUGGGAACUGCGUCUGAUACUGGGAGGCUUGAGUAUGGGAGAGGGAUGUAGAAUUCCAGGUGUAGCGGUGAAAUGCGUAGAUAUCUGGAGGAAUACCGGUGGCGAAGGCGGCAUCCUGGACCAUAACUGACGCUGAGGCGCGAAAGCUAGGGGAGCAAACGGG
rnacentral:rRNA from 1 species